AACGAACGCUGGCGGCAUGCCUAACACGUGCAAGUCGAACGAGACCUUCGGGUCUAGUGGCGCACGGGUGCGUAACGCGUGGGAACCUGCCCUUAGGUUCGGAAUAACUCCCCGAAAGGGGUGCUAAUACCGGAUAAUGUCUUCGGACCAAAGAUUUAUCGCCUUUGGAUGGGCCCGCGUUGGCUUAGCUAGUUGGUAGGGUAAAAGCCUACCAAGGCGACGAUCCAUAGCUGGUCUGAGAGGAUGAUCAGCCACACUGGGACUGAGACACGGCCCAGACUCCUACGGGAGGCAGCAGUGGGGAAUAUUGGACAAUGGGCGAAAGCCUGAUCCAGCAAUGCCGCGUGAGUGAUGAAGGCCUUAGGGUUGUAAAGCUCUUUUACCCGGGAUGAUAAUGACAGUACCGGGAGAAUAAGCGCCGGCUAACUCCGUG
rnacentral:rRNA from 1 species